UCUUCCAUAUGAAUCAUUCAAAAUUUAAACCUUUAUAAUGGUUUGAAGAGAAACAGAUAGCAGAGCAGAGUUUGGAGUAAAAUAGUACCACAUAUCCCACAUCAUGUAGGUAUAUUUGAAACAGCUGCUCUGUGAAUGGUUCAGCUGCUGACAAGCAGUUACUCCCAUCCCUGGAUGUAGCCCAUUACCACCUAGUAGUGAUACUCAGCCCACAACAGUUGUUCAUUUAUUUUAUGCUUGUACUAGUUAAUCUGUUUGUUUUGGUAUGAUUUUAAUGCUAUAGGCUAUGAGCAAUAGCAAGGGCCCAGCAGUGUCUGUGCAAUUUAUGAAAGGCUCUCUAGCCACUGUCUCAGGAGCUUCAAAUUCCUAUAUGUGCUGUUUAAACUCUUCUCUCUUUCAAGUAUUUAUACUAACAGAUCAUCUCAUCUUUUCAACUCAUUUCACAAAUAAAACACCUUUUUCCACACAAGACCUUUGUAUCCUGCCUUUUGAUAUGCUUUUCACCACUUCAAAGAACACAGAUUCUUUUCUCUGAUGUAGUAAGAGAAGUUCCUAAAAUCAGAGAAGAAAAGCUUUGAAGUAUGCAGGGGUUGUGUUUCUUGCCAUGGAGACCACAUGCCUAUGAAUGUUUGCAGCUGCCGGCUUCCAGUAACAGAUGCUGAAAAAGAAGGUGGUCUUGCCAAGGGGAUGGCUGCACCCAGAGCCUUCCAGCACAGACAACCAGGCAUGAAAGUGACAAUAACUGUAGUUCAUAUGCCAGCAGCUUCCACAGGAAGGCAUAUCUCGCUGGCCUUGGUCUCAUCAACACCAACAGCAGUACGUCUCCACUAUUUCUACCAACUUAUACAUGCUGAAAUGCAAGGCAAGGAAAGGGGGAUGGAGGGAUUUCCUUGUGAUUUAACGUCCGAAGAGUUUGUCAUGUUAUAUAUAUAUUUGCACCUCUUGAUAAAAGCCACAGACUAAAUUAUCUCUCUUUUAUUAAGUUUCCAGAAAGAAAGAAAUAGAAUAAAUUAAUAUUAGAAAUAUUAAUUAUUGUAACAUGAGUGACUUUGUUAACAUCUUCUGUGAAUCAUAUUUAUGUUCAGUUAUUCUCCUGGUUCCCUUCUUUUUUCACAUUUCCUGGCUUUGAGAUGAAAUUGUGCUUUUCAUUUAGCAUGCACUAAUUUCUACUAAGAAAAAAAUAAAAUACAGAAGUGAGAGAAA